CAUCGCGAGAUGGGAUCUGAAGGAAGCUGGAUGUGGGGAACUUACUAACCCACGGGCAAACCUCUGGUCUGACGAACAGGAAACGUAUAUAAGGCUGUACAUGAGGGUAAGUUUGCUCGCCAAGAUAAAGCCCAAUAGCUGCACGGAAUCAUGUGCGGUAAAUACGGCAGAUGGAUGGAGGAAAAGAAA
rnacentral:ncRNA from 1 species